GGCAUGCUAGUAGUGAACUGAUUUUGUUGAUUGAAGUAUCGCAACCACAGGUCAUGUUGCAAAACAUGAAAGAGAAGCCAUUGUUAUAUUAUUGAAUCUCUACUUUAAAUUUGUGUGCAUUUAAGGUUUGACUGACAAUGUACAUAAAGAUAUUUGCAUUGUCUAUACGAAGAUCCCUUAUCUUUUGUACUUCUAAGAAAAUAUAUUUUUUUCUAUA